rnacentral:lncRNA from 1 species
AACCAAACUAGAAGACUAACUUCGAGUGAAGAAUUGUGAUUGAAUUUUAUAUACAUUUUAAAUGAUUCAAUUUCGAUGUUUGAUAUAUUUGAUGAUUGAUAUAUUUGACGAUUGAUAUAUUUGAUUUUCCUUAUCUGACUAAUUGUUGAUUAGUGAUGAUGAUAUAAUGUUUGUGUAAUUCACUUUGUGAUUAUUUGACUAUAUGUAACUAUUUGACUACUUGAUUCUAUUUAUUUAAAUACAUGAUUAGAUAUUCAGGUAUGUAUAUAUACUGUUAAAUAAAAUUGUAUAUACUUGUAUAAUAUUAUGUGUAGCCUUGUGACAUCAUCACGAUGGUAACUUGUGUACGAGUGAUUCACCCCUUACAAUAGUUAGUGCAGGAUUCUAAGACCUCAAGUUGAAGUUCAUUGAGAAAAGAAAAAUGGCAUUGUGAGAGACACUAAAAUAAAGAACGUUAGUGCUGAUUAGUGAUCUAGUUUAUUUUUGGAGUCCGAAGAGAAAGAUCUCUUUGAUAUGUAUUGAUGACGUUAUUGGAGUACUCUCUAGGUGACAUGUAUCUUAGUGUUUGACCAGCUUGUGAUCAUUUGUGGGUUAGAGUCUUUUGUAGGAAUUUAUCUUUUAUUAUUUCA